AAAACUCGUUAGUUCCAACUCUUCUUGCUUAUCAUUCACAAUAAGGUCGGACGACUUUGGAAAGAGGCCAAAGCUAUCGAUGUUAUGCCGGAGCGCAACGAGGCUGGACCAUCCUCCAAACCCGAUCAAAAGGCACAGUACUACUGCCAGAUUGCAUGCCAAUCCAAUUCCAUGCCGCCUUGCUCUUGGAAGCAAAUGGGAUUCGUACCUCGAUCGCGAGCCGUGAUCUUGACAGGCUUGCCAGAUCCCAUCGAUCCCCCACACGGCGCUCAUCACUAGCGGCAAGAUUGACCUGGGGACCGAGGAGAGAGCGGCGAUGAGCUGGACCCGGCUCCGCCGUGCUGGGGAAAGAGUGAUCCGAUUUUGGGCUCGCGCUUGAUCCGCCCGGCAAGGCGCCCACCCAGAAAGAAAACGAAAGAACAAGAGCUUUAUUCUUUUGAUUCCACAAAGACGAGCAAAGCAGAGCAGCGUCAACCCUGCGCACAAUCACAGUUGUUUCCUCUAAGACCCUCUUCCUCUGCAGCAUUGACAAUGUCAGUAAGAGUUUUGAGCUUCAAGUCGGUAUCUUGGGGGCUUUAGCUCUUCUUUUGAAAAGAAGGCAUUUGGUGCUCCAAGAGAUCAAUGAUGGACAUGGGAAGUGCAUCUUCUGCCUUUGUAUCGAA
rnacentral:lncRNA from 1 species